GACGAACGCUGGCGGCGUGCUUAACACAUGCAAGUCGAACGAAGUGGCGAACGGGUGAGUAACGCGUAAUCAACCUGCCCUUCAGAGGGGAACAACAGUUGGCAACGCCUGCUAAUACCGCAUACUGAAGAAGUGGAUUGCGUCUGAUUAGCUCGUUGGGGGGGGAACGGCCCACAGAGGCGAUGAUCAGUCGCCUGUCUGAGAGGAUGACCGGCAACACGGGGACGGAGACACGGCCCAGACUCCGACGGGAGGCAGCAGGGGGAAUCUUCGGCAAUGGAGGAAAGUCUGACGGAGCAACGGCGCGUGAGUGAUGACGGCCGUCGGGUUGGAAAGCUAUGUUAAUCGGGACGCGGUACCGGAAUAGAAAGCCACGGCUAACUACGUGCCAGCAGCCGCGGUAAUUC
rnacentral:rRNA from 1 species